rnacentral:rRNA from 1 species
UACGUAGGGUGCAAGCGUUGUCCGGAAUUAUUGGGCGUAAAGAGCUUGUAGGCGGUUUGUCGCGUCUGCUGUGAAAUUUCGGGGCUCAACCCCGAACUUGCAGUGGGUACGGGCAAACUAGAGUGUGGUAGGGGAGACUGGAAUUCCUGGUGUAGCGGUGAAAUGCGCAGAUAUCAGGAGGAACACCGAUGGCGAAGGCAGGUCUCUGGGCCACUACUGACGCUGAGAAGCGAAAGCAUGGGGAGCGAACAGG